UACAGAGGGUGCGAGCGUUGUUCGGAAUUAUUGGGCGUAAAGAGCUCGUAGGCGGUUCGGUAAGUCGGGUGUGAAACCUCCAGGCUCAACCUGGAGACGCCACCCGAUACUGCUGUGACUAGAGUCCGGUAGGGGAGCGUGGAAUUCCUGGUGUAGCGGUGAAAUGCGCAGAUAUCAGGAGGAACACCAGCGGCGAAGGCGGCGCUCUGGGCCGGAACUGACGCUGAGGAGCGAAAGCGUGGGGAGCAAACAGG
rnacentral:rRNA from 1 species